rnacentral:rRNA from 1 species
UACGGGGGGAGCAAGCGUUGUUCGGAUUUACUGGGCGUAAAGCGUGCGCAGGCGGUUAUGCAAGACAGAUGUGAAAUCCCCGGGCUCAACCUGGGAACUGCAUUUGUGACUGCAUGGCUAGAGUACGGUAGAGGGGGAUGGAAUUCCGCGUGUAGCAGUGAAAUGCGUAGAUAUGCGGAGGAACACCGAUGGCGAAGGCAAUCCCCUGGACCUGUACUGACGCUCAUGCACGAAAGCGUGGGGAGCAAACAGG